GAUGAACGCUGGCGGCGUGCUUAACACAUGCAAGUCGAGCGAAGCAGUUAAGUUGAUUUCUUCGGAAUGAUUUUUAACUGACUGAGCGGCGGACGGGUGAGUAACGCGUGGGUGACCUGCCCCAUACCGGGGGAUAACAGCUGGAAACGGCUGCUAAUACCGCAUAAGCGCACAGAGCUGCAUGGCUCGGUGUGAAAAACUCCGGUGGUAUGGGAUGGGCCCGCGUCUGAUUAGGCAGUUGGCGGGGUAACGGCCCACCAAACCGACGAUCAGUAGCCGGCCUGAGAGGGCGACCGGCCACAUUGGGACUGAGACACGGCCCAAACUCCUACGGGAGGCAGCAGUGGGGAAUAUUGCACAAUGGGGGAAACCCUGAUGCAGCGACGCCGCGUGAGCGAAGAAGUAUUUCGGUAUGUAAAGCUCUAUCAGCAGGGAAGAUAAUGACGGUACCUGACUAAGAAGCCCCGGCUAA
rnacentral:rRNA from 1 species